CGGCCGCGCCCGCACCCGCUCCCUCUCCCUCCCCGCGUACCUCCCGGGGCCCGCCGCGGCGCCUCCUUCCCGGGGAACCUGCCUUGCCGACCCCUUCCCUCCCUUCGCCGGGUCGCGGACUGCGGUGGCCCCUGCCCGAGCGCUGUCCCCUGCCUGCGCCCCGAGCCCCGUGCAGCCCGCAUCACGCGCCCGCCUGCCCCCUCCCCUUCCCGGCGGUGUGGAGCCCUCUGGGCGAUCUGCAGACCCCCUCGAGGCUCGGCUCGGGGCCGGGAGCUGUCAAAUCCGGGCCCUGCCACCACCGCACCCGGUGGAGAUCGAGAUGCAGGGGCCUUGGGUGCGCCCCGCUGGGCCUGGCGAGGCCAGGGGCGGAAGGUACCAGGCGGAGCGCGCUGCGGUCUUGGCGCCUUGACUACUCCCACCCUGCCUGGAGCACAGAGGAGGCAUGGUGGAAAGCAGGAGUUGUGUGGACAGUUAGCAGGGCUGGAAUUGCAGAGUUGGUGUUGCCAGUGGUGGACAAAAUAGUCUCCAUAAAUGCCAAGAGUAUGUAGGAUGGAGAAGAUAAAGGAGAAGAUGGUGCUGAGAGUCACACCCAAGAUGGAGUGCUUGGCCUGGGAAGUUGCUUUUCCUACUGAGAUAAGAGCCACCAGCAUCCCUAAAGCUAGUUCAGCAGAGGACGUGCGAGGGGGAAGUGAAGCAUGCUGGGACAUUGGCUACAUGGCCCCAUCAUGAAUCAGGAAAGCAGGCUGGCAUAGGGAGAAAGAUUCUUCCUCGCUCAGAAUUUUGCGUCCCUUGGCAUGACUGCUGUGACCGCUGCCACCACCAGCUCUGGAUUUGCCUUGUAUGAAGGGAACUGGGAGA